rnacentral:rRNA from 1 species
AAUGGAUUGUAAUGGAGGCUGAUGCUGGCAGCCAUUUCUUUGGCUGCAUUGUGCUCGCUUCUGGCAAUUAUUUGUCCAAACACUUGUGCACCUUUUUCGAGGGUUUUCCAAUAUUGGAUUACCCUCUCACACAUACUCUUAUUUAUAAUGUUGAACGUGCUUGUGCCAUGCAUUGUGGCCAAUAAUAUAUAAUACAACUUUUAACAACGGAUCUCUUGGCUCUCGCAUCGAUGAAGAACGCAGCGAAAUGCGAUAAGUAAUGUGAAUUGCAGAAUUCAGUGAAUCAUCGAAUCUUUGAACGCACCUUGCGCUCCCCGGUAUUCCAGGGAGCACACCUGUUCGAGUGUCGUGAAAUUCUUCAAGCUGGAUGUUUUUUUUUUCAUCUCAGUUUGGUGUUGGGCUUUGCCGUGACACCCCUUCAUUGGGGAAUGGCUGGCCUUAAAAAUAUUAGCUGACCCUCAUGUGGGAUUGGUUCUACUCAGCGUGAUAAUAAUAAUUGUGACCGUUGAGGACGUCCUUUUAUCGGGAUGGCCAAGCUCUAUUUGGGGUUGCUUCUAAUCCUGGUGUGCACGGAUUUCUUUUGAGAUCCUGUAUUCCAUCUCAUUCAUGAUUUUGGCCUCGAAUCAGGUGGGACU